UACGGAGGAUCCGGGCGUUAUCCGGAUUUAUUGGGUUUAAAGGGAGCGCAGGCCGCCCCUUAAGCGUGUUGUGAAAUGCCGCGGCUCAACCGUGGCACUGCAGCGCGAACUGGGUGUCUUGAGUACAGUAGAGGCAGGCGGAAUUCGUGGUGUAGCGGUGAAAUGCUUAGAUAUCACGCAGAACUCCGAUUGCGAAGGCAGCAUACCGGCGCCCAACUGACGCUGAAGCACGAAAGCGUGGGUAUCGA
rnacentral:rRNA from 1 species